ensembl:lncRNA
AUGAUCCGACCCGAACCCGUUAAGGGAUCCAGCGGGGAGAUUCUACCCUGGGAGUGCCUGCUCUGGUUCCUCUCCUCCGAUCACCGGCCGGCCUCUCUUUCUCCAGCUUCGCCUCGCCGAAGACGCCAUCGCCGACCUUCGGCCAUGGCAUUCCUCCCCGCCCUCCCGGAGCCGGAGGCGAGUUUGGACCGGGAGCCGCUUCCAGAUCGCUCCAGUUUUGUUGGCACAAGCCUGGCUGUCUGUUCCCCCGGAGUUGGUCUACGGCAUGGGGAGAAACGCCGAGCUCCACCGCAUCCCUGUGUCCCGGGACGGAGCUGCGGACUCGCCGCUGCCCCUGCCCGACGCAGCAGCUUGGACCCGCCCCCAGCCAGAUCAGCAGUCCCGUCACCAGCCCAAUAUGCGCAUCCGUCAUCUGCAGGCAGAGGAGCAAUGCCUGCAGCCCAGCUGACAGAGCUCGUCGGUCUCCAGGCGGAACUUGGCCGGAUCCGCCAGCUCGUCAGCCUCCAGGAGUCCCAUCUGGACACUCUAUCCUCCUCGAACUGCCAGGAGAGAGCCUCGGUCCAGCCGGCCGCUCCCUCAUCUCAGAGCCAGAGGAGCGAGCCCGAGGUCCACCCAGCGGAGCUCGCCGGUCUCCGGGCUGAGCUGGCCCAGCUCCAUCGGACCCUCAGCCUCCAGGAGCUUCAGCUAGACGGUCUGUCCUCCCUGUUCUCCCGGUUUCCAGCACCACCAGUUCAGACGCAGCCUGUUCCAGCGGUGGUCCUGGAGGUUGCACUGCAUCCGGUCCAGCCUGUCCAGGCAGCCCCUCCUGCUGCGGCUCAGUCUCCACUCCAGAAGCAGAAGGCUCGGGCCCAGAAGAAGACGGUUCUGGCCCAGAAGCAGAUGGUUCCGGUUCCGGCCCAGAAGCAGACGGUUCCGCUCCAGAAGCAGAAGGUUCCGGCCCAGAAGCAGACAGUUCUGGCCCAGAAGCAGAUGGUUCCGGUUCCGACCCAGAAGCAGACGGUUCUGGUCCAGAAGCAGACAAUUCAGAAGUCGACGCACCUGGACCAGAAGUCGACGCCCCUGGACCAGAAGUCGACGCUUCCGGGCCAGAAGUCGACGCCCCCGGACCAGAAGUCGCCGCCCCCAGACCAGAAGUUGACGGACCAGAAGUCGACGGUCCAGAAGUCGACGGUCCAGAGGUCGACGGUCCAGAGGUCGACGGUCCAGAAGUCAACGCCUCCAGACCAGAAGUCAAUGGAGGUCGACGCCCCUUCCAGUCUUAUAGUCGACGCCUCUUCGUGUUCUGAAGUCGACGCCUCUUCGUAUUCUGAAGUCGACGCCUCUUCGUGUUCUGAAGUCGACGCCUCUUCGUGUUCUGAAGUUAACGCCUCCUCGUGUUCUGAAGUCGACGCCUCCUCGUGUUCUGAAGUCGACGCCUCCUCGUGUUCUGAAGUCGACGCCUCCUCGUGUUCUGAAGUCGACACCUCCUCGUGUUCUGGAGUCGACGCCUCAUCCACUCCAGAGGUCGACGCCUCAUCCACUCCAGGGGUCGACGCCUCUUCCAGUCCAAGGGUCGACGCCCCCAGGCCAGAAGUCAACGCCUCCUCUGAAGUCGGCGCCUCAUCUGAAGUCGACGCUUCAUCUGAAGUUGACGCCUCAUCUGAAGUCGACGCUCUUUCCACUCCAGAGGUCGACGCUCUUUCCACUCCAGAGGUCGACGCUCGUUCCACUCCAGAGGUCGACGCUCUUUCCACUCCAGAGGUCGACGCUCUUUCCACUCCAGAGGUCGACACUCUUUCCAGUCCAGAGAUCGACACUCCCUCGUGUCCAGAGGUCGACAUCCCCUCUAGUCCGGCAUCUCCACCGUCUCCAGUCCUGUGGUCGACACCGUCUCCAGUUCCAGUGGUGGUUCCGGAGGUCGCACCGUAUCCGGUCCAGCCCUUCCACGAGGCUCCGGUCCUGCCCUUCCAAGAGGCUCCGGUCCUGCCCUUCCAAGAGGCUCCGGUCCGGCCCAUCCAAGAGGCUUUGUCUCCGGUCCGGCCCAGCCUGCAGAGACUUUGUCCCCGGCCCAGCCUGCAGAGACCUUGUCCCCGGCCCAGCCUGCAGAGACUUUGUCCCCGGCCCAGCCUGCAGAGACUUUGUCCCGGGCCCAGCCUGCAGAGACUUUGUCCCUGGCCCAGCCUGCAGAGACUUUGUCCCCGGUCCAGCCUGCAGAGCUCCUCUGCCGUAGACGCCGGCCCCCAAUAG